GACGAACGCUGGCGGCGUGCCUAAUACAUGCAAGUAGAACGCUGAAGAGAGGAGCUUGCUCUUCUUGGAUGAGUUGCGAACGGGUGAGUAACGCGUAGGUAACCUGCCUUGUAGCGGGGGAUAACUAUUGGAAACGAUAGCUAAUACCGCAUAACAAUGGAUGACACAUGUCAUUUAUUUGAAAGGGGCAAUUGCUCCACUACAAGAUGGACCUGCGUUGUAUUAGCUAGUAGGUGAGGUAAUGGCUCACCUAGGCGACGAUACAUAGCCGACCUGAGAGGGUGGUCGGCCACACUGGGACUGAGACACGGCCCAGACUGCUACGGGAGGCAGCAGUAGGGAAUCCUCGGCAAUGGGGGCAACCCUGACCGAGCAACGCCGCGUGAGUGAAGAAGGUUUUCGGAUCGUAAAGCUCUGUUGUAAGUCAAGAACGGGUGUGAGAGUGGAAAGUUCACACUGUGACGGUAGCUUACCAGAAAGGGACGGCUAACUACGUG
rnacentral:rRNA from 1 species